UUUCUUUCCCCUCUCUUUGUUUCUCUUCACCUUUCUCCUUUGAUUACUCUACGAUCUCUCUGACUCUCUCUCCGGUUUUCCAUUUCACUGGAUCGGCUAAUCGGAGAAUUCACAAACAAUGUCCUAUUCAGAUUCCGACUCUUCCUCCAGCGCUGGUGACUACAAGAAUUUCAGGCAAAUCAGACAAGAAAGAUUAUUAUACGAAAUGCUUCGUUCUACACAAGUGAAGAAUUCAAAAUCUACAUGGAAGGUGUUAUCAUGGAAAAAGUUACGGUUAAGAUAAUGUCUUACUCUUGCAAGAUGGCUGACAUCACAUCGAAAGGAGUUUCAUGUAAACUCUGCUUUUUUUGGUCCUCUUAAUGGUUACAUAACAAUUGGUCUAACUGGGUGUGGAACUAGAUCAUUAUAAGCUUGGAAUCUUAAAAUUUGAAGGAUCAAUUUGUCCUGCUAGCUUAACGAUUCUGUACUUGUUGUGCAGUGGUAGAAGAUAUACACAGACGU